CUACUGGUCCUGUCGUCACUUUGAGACGUUUUUCUUCGUAAAGUAGAUGUAACCGAAUCAAAUAUGGCCGUUUGACUACCACCAACCCGGAAACAGCGGACUAAAGGAAUCAUGGGAUGUGGUGCAUCCCUGACAACAAUCCCUCUGGAUCUGAAAUGGGUUUAAGAUGUUUAAGAUGUCUGGAAACAACAACUGGUCUGGUGGCCCAACUUGCCCCCAAUUGCACAAUUGACCAACUAUGGUCAAUUGUGCUAUGGAUUCAGAAACUUUGCACUGACGUCGGCGCCAUCAAGCUUCUAACGUGGUGGAAGGAUUGGGCUUCGCUGCAAGGUUCACAGCGACAGGAGACGUCUUCAGCCUGACCAGGUCCAGUUCUGACAUGUGAAAUAUGGAUGAGGACACGAUGAAGAGGAGGCGUCUGAAGAGUCGGAGGACGAAGACAAUGAGACGGACAGGAAGUAGCUUCAGCCUCGGUCUGUUAUGUGACCAAACCACCUGAACACGGCUGGGUUCUGACCUGACGCCAGACGUUUUCCUUCCACCAACUCCAUCGUCUGAACCUAAGAUACCUGCGAACGCAGCAGCAGGAAAACCAGCUGGAAAUCUAUUGGUGGCCUUUGAACUGAGAACAUUUCCUGUUUCUGGUGCAAUAAAAAAAAAAAA